rnacentral:rRNA from 1 species
CGUUAGCGGCGGACGGGUGAGUAACACGUGUGAUAACCUACCUAUAAGACUGGGAUAACUUCGGGAAACCGGAGCUAAUACCGGAUAAUAUAUUGAACCGCAUGGUUCAAUAGUGAAAGACGGUUUUGCUGUCACUUAUAGAUGGAUCCGCGCCGCAUUAGCUAGUUGGUAAGGUAACGGCUUACCAAGGCAACGAUGCGUAGCCGACCUGAGAGGGUGAUCGGCCACAUUGGAACUGAGACACGGUCCAGACUCCUACGGGAGGCAGCGGUAGGGAAUCUUCCGCAAUGGGCGAAAGCCUGACGGAGCAACGCCGCGUGAGUGAUGAAGGUCUUCGGAUCGUAAAACUCUGUUAUUAGGGAAGAACAAAUGUGUAAGUAACUAUGCACGUCUUGACGGUACCUAAUCAGAAAGCCACGGCUAACUACGUGCCAGCAGCCGCGGUAAUACGUAGGUGGCAAGCGUUAUCCGGAAUUAUUGGGCGUAAAGCGCGCGUAGGCGGUUUUUUAAGUCUGAUGUGAAAGCCCACGGCUCAACCGUGGAGGGUCAUUGGAAACUGGAAAACUUGAGUGCAGAAGAGGAAAGUGGAAUUCCAUGUGUAGCGGUGAAAUGCGCAGAGAUAUGGAGGAACACCAGUGGCGAAGGCGACUUUCUGGUCUGUAACUGACGCUGAUGUGCGAAAGCGUGGGGAUCAAACAGGAUUAGAUACCCUGGUAGUCCACGCCGUAAACGAUGAGUGCUAAGUGUUAGGGGGUUUCCGCCCCUUAGUGCUGCAGCUAAC